AGUAUACUGUAUAGUAAUAUGCUGUAUCUGCCAGAAUACCAAAAUAAGACUCCUGACUAACAGAGUCACUAAAUGAAGAUUGUGACAAUUAGAGACAUGAGACAAUCGUCUCAAGCAGAAUACCGAUAUUAGUGUAUAAUAUUACCUUGUAAUUCCUAUGUUCCAGUGCGAAAGCAAACGUAAUCGGAUUACAACCACGCCUAUUUUCCAUAUAAUUACGGUGACUGAUUUUCGCAGUACUGUACUGAUUUUGAAGCACCUGUUCUGCGGUUUUUUUUUUGUGAAAAUGGCAAAAAUGUUCUGUUUUUUCCGAACGUACUGUAUUUUGUUCUGAAAUUUAGCACCAAGCAGUUUAAAAAGUUUCUACUACUGGACAGCCGUUUAAUGAUUAAGGUAUUAUCGAUAUUAAAUUGUCAUCCCUGAUGUGAACAGCUGAUUGCGGGUUUGAAUUAUUUUGCUUUCUGUAAUGUUCUAUUGACAAACAACUAGCUUUACAAAAUGCCUCCUUCCCGCAGAAAAUGCGUUUUUAAUAAACAACUACAAGAAGAAUACACCUUCAUAAAGGAAAUUAACAGCGGUACAGUGAAAUGUACAAAAUGUUCUGCAGUUUUCUCUAUUUCCAAUGCAGGUAAACACGAUGUGCUGCGCCAUUUACAAUCUCAGAAACAUCGAAAAGCCGAUAUUGCAGCUUCUAGCAGCAAACCCGUGAUGAGCUUUGUAAGGACACGUACAAUAGACGAUCAGCGAAGAAAAAGCAGCGUAAAUGAAGGCAACUGGGCAUAUCACACUGAUUUUAAUGCUAUCAAUUUUAUUGCCGUUUUUUCCGACUGCUCAAAUCAUGGAAGUAUGAAAGUGUGUCCUGUUCUUGUUCGAUAUUUUCUGCCUGAGAAGGGUGUGCAAUUAAAAAUAUUGGAAGUAAAUGAUCUCCGUGGAGAAUCGUCAGAUAUACUCACAAAUUAUAUUUUUGAUCUCAUGAAAAAGUUUGCAUUAAGUGAGAAGUUACUUGCUCUUUGUGCAGAUAACACUAAUUGUAACUUUGAAGGAGCUGCAAGACGCGGGAAAAAUAAUCUAAUCUAAUAAAAUUGGCAGUAUCCACUGGCAGCAUCCUUAUAGCUAUAGAACGGAUCUUAAAACUUUUCAAACCACUAAAAAAAUAUUUUUUAGAACAGCCUCACUGCCCAAGUCCCUUAAAAACUUUUUUUGAAAACUCAACCUCAGAAAUGUGGUUUUUCUUUACUCAUUGUCAAGCAUCUCUUUUUCAUAAUUACAUUAUGCAGAUUGAAUCGCAGAAUAUUUCCAUGAUAGAAGUUGCGGAACGCAGAGAUGCAAAUUUUGUACCUCUCCUGAUGAAGAACCUCAUGUCAGAGUUUGAAAAAGCAGGAACUGGAAACUUAAGAGAAAUUAAAGAUCACGUUAAAAACUUUUAUAAUAACUAUGUUGAUUAUAUAAACCAGUGGGAUCAUGAAUUUAAAGAGGUUGAGGUAAUGGAAUGGAUUCUUCUACGCACAGUGCCAUCUUGGUAUAUGUAUAUGUAUAUGUAUGUAUAU